AUGGUCACAUAUAUGGAAAAGGGUGGCUGGCCAUGUGCUAUUUUAGAGUGGUGUGAACCCAAUUUUAUAAAAUUCAAAUCCCAUUUAAUUAAGAAGUCAAGUGGGCAAGUGGGUAGAAAAGCACUCAAGUGUUUUGUGAUAUUUUGAAGAGUUGUGUGAGCCAUUCUAACCCCCAAAUCCGACCACUCUCCCUCCCUCAUUCACUCUCAUCUGAUUUUUGAAGACUCUCUCAAGUGUUCUCUCCAUUUUGAACCCCAAGAACACCAAAGAAACUUGGAAGCUAAGUCUUGGUCUAGGAAGGGUUUUCCCUAAGUUGGUUAGGGUUUUUGAAAGGUUUUGAAGGAGUCAAAGCUUAUAGGAAGGUCCAAACCUUAAGCAAGAACACCAAAGAGGUAAGGGCAAGGGCAGGGCAGAGCAGUGAGCGCUGGAGUCUUCCUUGCAAAUGUACAUGUGGACCGACCUUUUGGGAAGCCCUUUUAUUUUUGGAAAUAUUGUGUAAUUUUCCUAAACUAGGCUCACUCUAAUCUUUAUAAAACAUGUUUGUAACUAAAUGUUAAGUAUGGCCAUACGACUUUUUAAAAAGUUUUUUUUUCUAUGG